CCAAAGUGAUGUUAAAUCUUUUCCCUGAUUUGCCAUGUGGGUGAAAAAUAUCGAGCUUUUUAACACUGAUUGGU